rnacentral:lncRNA from 1 species
AAAACAUUUUAGGCAAAAUUGACACUCAAAGGUGUUCUUUAACCUUAACUUAGACUGCCACAUUCGAUUUAAACUGCCAGAAUAAUUUCCAAGACAUUCAUAUAUCACCUAGAAUACAUUUGAAGCGAAAUUACGAAAUAUUUGGUGGUUUUGAAGGACAGUGUUGGAUGUUCGUAAAUCGUUAACUAUUAACUCUAUUUAAUCAACAUAAUUUGUGUUAUGUUCUUACAUUUAGGACCAAACACCGAAAGGUGUCAUCGAAUGUGGUAAGAUCCUUGAAGUACUCCCAGCUGACAAACCGGGCAGAUCAGACAAGUUCAAAUUUUAUGCCGUCACAAAUGAACGAAAGUUUGCAUUCAAAGCAAGCAGUGAGUCGUUAAUGAAUAUCUGGAUAGCAACACUCAGUGUAAAUUCCAAUAAUUUUAGUAUUAGGUAAUUCUGUGCAUAGGGGACAAUUUUUAUACAUAGUCAAAUAUUUGAGCUUUAUCCACACAACAAAACGUCCAAACCUUAAAGGGACACUCCACCCCCAGAACAAGUGUCGCUCAUAAGAAAGCUUUAUAUGAGCCUACCUUGGAAUGAAUAUUCAUUCGCCUCAAUUAUUUUUCGUUUGCGAGAAAUUUAACUUUGUUUCACUGAUUUUUCGUCCAUUAUCGCCGCCAUGUUUGUUGAAUCCGCGGGUGGUCCUAUGAGUGCCGUGACGUAAGUGUGUGAUAGAAACACUCAGUCUUUGAUGUAAACACUAUAAAUUAACAGCUUCGUAGUUCAUUUCGGUGUGAUUUUGGGUAAAUAAAUUCUGUUAUUGAUCGUUUAUUAUCUUACUGGUCAUUUUAAAUUAUGGCCCGAUCGAGUACUAGCAGCUCUUCUGAAGUAGACGAAGAUAUAUCAUCGAAUAAUGUAAAAUUUGAAACAGACGAAGCAAAGUUUUCGCUUCAGCCGUAUCUAUUCGAACCUACGAUUAAGAAAGGCUCCAGUUACAGCAUGCAGGGUCUGUCUUCCAUAUUACUGUCCCAAUAUGAUGUCGGAAGGAGUUAAGAUGAUGGUUGUACAUUUUUUUAGAACAUGAACUCGUAUAAAAUACACAAUUUAAAAUAUAUGCAGCAAAUAAAAAUAUACACAACAUAAAUGUUAUUGAAGUGUUUAUGCUUUAUUUGUGUCUAAUAACGUACAAGUGUUCAGAAAAUCAAUUCUGCCACAAUAUGAAAACUACAAAAUAUAAAUUACAUAAUGUACAAGUUUUUUAUACUACAAAUCCAUGCAAGCGUUCAUGGCUUGCUUAAUACCUCUUGUCUGGCUUGUUCAGAGCGGAUUUGAUUUCUUCUUCGCCCUUAAUAGCUUUUUGUGGCUUACUGCGCGGAAAUACAGAUGUCACCGCGUCUGAAUUUAGCUUUGGCCUUUUUUGGUAGCCAGGCACAAGAUCGAGCGUUCUUUCGAAGCAGUCUAGUGUAAAAUGCGCCGAACAAACACAUGAAUUAUUUAUAUCGCGUGGGUUUACUCAGACUGCGAAUUCUCGCCAACCACGCUUCUCGCAAACCUUUUUCUUUUGGAAUUCUAUAGUAGCUGAUUCCCACAGUUUUCCGCGAGUUGUUAGUACACUCAGGAACCAUGCAUCUUCCGUUAAAAAAUAUUUAAAAGGAACUCUAAAGACUAAAGCUUGAUUAUACAAUUUGUUUCGAAGCAAAUCUGAUUAUACAAUGUGUUUCUAUCACACACUUACGUCACGGCACUCAUAGGACCACCCGCGGAUUCAACAAACAUGGCGGCGAUAAUGGACGAAAGUCAGUGAAACAAAGUUAAAUUUCUCGCAAACGAAAAAGAAUUGAGGCGAACGAAUAUUCAUUCCAAUGUAGGCUCAUAUAAAGCUUUCUUAUGAGCGACACUUGUUCUGGGGGUGGAGUGUCCCUUUAAAAAGGCAAUGUAUGUAUAUGUAUAUCUAUAGAUGGCAUUAGCUGGAGGGGAGGUGCUUUUAUCUCUAGAAAUUACGCAGUUCCUCAAUCGUUGCACACACGGACGAAUAGCUCUAUGGGCCCCACUCAUACAGGGGGGCUAGUCUGUAUAGUCUUACUGAACAAUUUCGCCUUCAUGCCACUAAAGCCCGGUUUCCAUGUGGUCGUAAAAUAUACACAGUUAUAUAUUCAUCAAAUAGGAAUACAAUGCAUUGUGGGAAACAACUGGGGGAUUUACUAACCCUCGAUUUUUAUGAGGCGUAUGCACCUCCGAGGUUUACUAGAGCAGUAUAGAUUUUCAAUUAGAACAGUAAAUUUUUACUAAGUUUGGGCAGGUGCCUUGCAUGGUUCUUCGAGUCCCGUUUGCGCCUCGCCCAUUUAGGGUCUCCGAAUAAUUAGACUUUAUAAUUAGACUUUGUACAUAUACUGUAGUGGACCCUAAUAAAGACAAUAAUAAUAAUAACAGUAAAAACAGAUUGGUUAAAAUAGCCAAUUUGAAUUUGUUAUUUGACAAAUCAAUACUUUAUUAGUUAAAACAACCACAAAUUUGGUUAUUUUAACCAAUUUUUCCGUUGUUUUGACCAAACAAUAUUGGUCAAAAGAAAAUGCAUCUGAGACAACCAAUUCAAAUUGGUUGUUUUAACCAAUCAGUUUAAGAGUCACGAUCUUUCUCAUUGAUCAGUUUAUACCUGUAAAAAACAUAUAAAUCAUAAGUAGUCUCUAGUUAUAAUCAUAUAAUAUAAUCGCGUAUUUUUAGUUCUAAAGUGUUGUAUUUCGGCUGAUGAGAAAGAUCGUGACUCAAUCUUUACGACCAUAUGGAAAUCAGGCUUAAUUUUAUCUCUAUUUUAUUUUUGUUUUGCCUUUCCAAAUCCAGAGAUAGGUUUGAUCAGGAAAUUGGCAAUCCCUCCUCUUGAACCCUUGCCUAAGCUAGGACGGUGCACACCCCCUCUUUAUCCCCAUUAAAUCGUUCUCUGUUAAAGGAAGUAGCAAGCACUAGCGGUGAAGCAAGAGGAACUCCCCCAGUCUAUAUAAAAGCUAGCUCUGAGUAAACUAGUAACGAGGUUGUGUCAACGUUCUUGAUACUUAGCAUUAAUUAAUCAGAUGCCAAAUGGUACGGGUAUGUCAAAAAGUAUUAAAUAUAUGAUACAGAAGUAUCUAGAUUGGGUUUUGUUUAUGUAAAAAUAUAUUGUAUAUGACUAUUUGUUGUAAUUGGGAACAGAGUGCAUUCAAUAAUAGCACCAGUAAUUUAGAAAAAAUACCAUCCAAUGUCAGAAUUGUCUUUAGUACAGCCAUUAAAAUUUGAAAAGUUGUCUGACACUCACUUGGUCCCGCAAGGAAUCUUACAGUUUAACAUAUAAGUAUAGAGCGGGGCUCGAAAAUUGCGGCCUGCCAAUGGCAAAAAGGCCAUAUUUCAGAAACGACAGGCGAAAAAAAUCAAAAGAAGAAGGCACCGAAGGCCAAU